rnacentral:rRNA from 1 species
GACGAACGCUGGCGGCGUGCCUAAUACAUGCAAGUCGAGCGCAGGAAAUCGACGGAACCCUUCGGGGGGAAGUCGACGGAAUGAGCGGCGGACGGGUGAGUAACACGUAAAGAACCUGCCCUCAGGUCUGGGAUAACCACGAGAAAUCGGGGCUAAUACCGGAUGGGUCAUCGGACCGCAUGGUCCGAGGAUGAAAGGCGCUCAGGCGUCGCCUGGGGAUGGCUUUGCGGUGCAUUAGCUAGUUGGUGGGGUAAUGGCCCACCAAGGCGACGAUGCAUAGCCGACCUGAGAGGGUGAUCGGCCACACUGGGACUGAGACACGGCCCAGACUCCUACGGGAGGCAGCAGUAGGGAAUCUUCCACAAUGGACGAAAGUCUGAUGGAGCAACGCCGCGUGAACGAUGAAGGCCUUCGGGUCGUAAAGUUCUGUUGUAAGGGAAGAACAAGUGCCGCAGGCAAUGGCGGCACCUUGACGGUACCUUGCGAGAAAGCCACGGCUAACUACGUGCCAGCCGCCGCAGUAACAC